rnacentral:rRNA from 1 species
UCGGGAAUUUUGGGCAAUGGGCGAAAGCCUGAUCCAGCAACGCCGCGUGAGUGAUGAAGGCCUUCGGGUCGUAAAGCUCUGUCAGAGGGAACGAAAAACAGCGACCUAAUACGUCGUUGCUUGACGGUACUCUCAAAGGAAGCACCGGCUAACUCUGUGCCAGCAGCCGCGGUAAUACAGAGGGUGCAAGCGUUAAUCGGAAUUACUGGGCGUAAAGCGCACGUAGGUGGUUUGUUAAGUUGGAUGUGAAAUCCCCGGGCUCAACCUGGGAAUGGCAUUUGUGACUGUAGAGCUAGAGUACGGUAGAGGGGGAUGGAAUUCCGCGUGUAGCAGUGAAAUGCGUAGAUAUGCGGAGGAACACCGAUGGCGAAGGCAAUCCCCUGGACCUGUACUGACGCUCAUGCACGAAAGCGUGGGGAGCAAACAGGAUUAGAUACCCGCGUAGUCCCUGAGCGGGCUGGCAAGGCGCAU